rnacentral:rRNA from 1 species
UUUAGAAUGAAUACAACUCUGCAUACACCCAGUCUCAUCUGAUUUCAGAAGCUAAAAAGGCCAGGCCUAGUUAGCACUCAGAUGAGAAACCAUCAGGCAAUAUUACGUUUCUUCAAGUA